GCUAAUUCGGAAAUUUUGGUGGGGGGGAGAAUUAUGUCAAAACCAAAGUUUAUGGGUGGUUUGGGUUUCUGAGAUAUCGAGUUGUUCAGUUUGGCUCUACUUGCCCACCAAGCUUGGAGGUUGAUGCAGCAACCGGAGUCACUAAGUGCCCGAGUCCUUAAAGCUCGGUAUUACCCUAAUGUUGAUCUGCUAAAUGCCACGUUGGGAACUGCCCCCUCCUAGGUCUGGCGCUCUUUGUUGGAAGGCCGAGAUAUACUGUCAUUAGGUCUAAUUAAGAGGAUUGGUUCCGGUGUAGAUACAAAUAUUUGGCAGGAGAACUGGCUCUAG
rnacentral:rRNA from 1 species